rnacentral:rRNA from 1 species
UACGUAGGGGGCAAGCGUUGUCCGGAAUCAUUGGGCGUAAAGCGCGUGUAGGCGGCUCGGUAAGUCCGCUCUGAAAGUCCAGGGCUCAACCCUGGGAUGCGGGUGGAUACUGCCGGGCUCGAGUCCGGAAGAGGCGAGUGGAAUUCCCGGUGUAGCGGUGAAAUGGCGCAGAUAUCGGGAAGGAACACCAAUGGCGAAGGCAGCUCGCUGGGACGUGACUGACGCUGAGACGCGAAAGCGU